AACCCGUGUUGUGGACAGUUCCGCAAGAGGUCCUUUAAUCGCUCCCAAGUUUCAAAUAAAGAUUCAUGCUCCAUCUGAACAAAUAAAGUAUCUCAUUAUGAAGAUU